rnacentral:rRNA from 1 species
GAUGAACGCUGGCGGCGUGCCUAAUACAUGCAAGUCGAGCGAACAGACGAGGAGCUUGCUCCUCUGACGUUAGCGGCGGACGGGUGAGUAACACGUGGAUAACCUACCUAUAAGACUGGUAUAACUUCGGGAAACCGGAGCUAAUACCGUAUAAUAUAUUGAACCGCAUGGUUCAAUAGUGAAAGACGGUUUUGCUGUCACUUAUAGAUGGAUCCGCGCCGCAUUAGCUAGUUGGUAAGGUAACGGCUUACCAAGGCAACGAUGCGUAGCCGACCUGAGAGGGUGAUCGGCCACACUGGAACUGAGACACGGUCCAGACUCCUACGGGAGGCAGCAGUAGGGAAUCUUCCGCAAUGGGCGAAAGCAUGACGGAGCAACGCCGCGUGAGUGAUGAAGGUCUUCGGAUCGUAAAACUCUGUUAUUAGGGAAGAACAAAUGUGUAAGUAACUAUGCACGUAUUGACGGUACCUAAUCAGAAAGCCACGGCUAACUACGUG